CCCCCCGUGCCCCCACCCGAGAGCCACUCAAGCAAACCCAUGCCCGUGCACAGCCAUUCUUGCCGGCCGGCCCGUCACACAGCCCCCAGCUGUGUUUUCAUCUUGGCGGGGUGAGAACAGUGAGGACCCUCAGUCACUUCCACGCACCCCUCAGACUUCUCACGGCCUGGAAGGUUGGGUUAUCACGCAUCAUUUCAGAGAUGGAGAAGCUGAGGCUCAGGGAGGUGGAAAUCUGCCAAGGUCUCAUAGCUGGAGGGACAGGGGUGGCACGGGAAUGGGUCUCUUUGGUCCCACUUUCCUGCGGCCAUCAACAGGGCAUUCGGCAUUUCCUGUGACCCCAGCCUGCUGCAGCAUCUGGGAUCAGGUGGGGUGGGACCUACAGUAAGAAGAAUGCAGGGAGGUGAUCCCUGGGAUUCUUAGCACCUGCUAUAGCUGUUAGAAAUCGUUGCCAGGUUAUGUCACACGUUGGUAACCCACUGAUCGAUGUGUGUUUCUGCUUGGUCUGAAUUGGAUAACGAUUAAGCCGAAGGCUGAGGGUUCGGAAGGGGAAGGGAAGUGUGGAUUAUGAUCCGGGACCAUAGACUCUCUCGGUGGGAGUCUGGAUGGGUGGGAGCCAGAGCAGUGAGUCAGCAAACCCCUGGCAGUCAGUGUCCAAUGCUUUAGUUUAGCUGGGCCCGGAGCAGACUGUGGCUUUGACAUCAGGCAAACAGAGCUGAAUUCUACCCCGUUUCUGCGGUUGUCUAGCUGUGGACCUUGUGAGAGUCCCUCCUACCUCUGAGCCUCGUAUUCUCGCCUGUGAAAAGAAUUGUAAAAUCCCCUUCUUUACGAGGAGGUCAAAAAGAUUACAUGAGAUAAACCAGGGAAAGGGUUUUGCAUGUAGGGCGUGCUCCAUAAAUGCGGGCUUUCCAUCCCCUCCCACCAGACGGAACAUCAGGGUUAAUUUUCAACAGCUCUGGGGUUAGAUGAACCCUAGAUCUGAAGCUCACCGGUCUCGUUUCCUGGUUGUUCAACCUGGAGAAAGGGAUUCCCUCCUCCACCCCCCACCCCGGCCAGAGACCCAGCUUCGUCUGUAGUAACAGGAAUGAGGACACAGAUCUCAUUACCCUGAACGCUGUUAGGAAGGAACUACUGAGGACAGCAAAGAUGGGUUGGUGUCAGGAAAAGGGUGAGGAGGAAGGGGCCAGCAUCUGGAACACGAACUGAAGUUUGGAAAAUGACAAGAGCAUCUUACAGAUAGAGCGGGUGGUUGACGUCUGCAAAGCCAGCGGGGCACUGUCUCAUGAUGCCUUUGGUUUGUUGCCUCAUAUCCCUUUGUUUACCCGUUCAGUCCUUCGUUCCUUCCUUCUUCCCUCUGUUCAUUCUUUUACUAAGUGGUUCACAUAGUGAUUAAUAAGGGGGCAUAGCUCAGGGGCAGAGCAUUUGGCCGCACGUAGUGAUUGAUGGCAUGGAAUCUUUUUUGAGUUUAUUUAUUUUGAGAGCAAGCGAGCAGGGGAGGGGCUGAGAGAGAAGAAGAGAGAGAGAAUCCCAAACAGGCUCUGCCCUAUCAGUGCAGAGCCCGAUGCAGGGCUCGAACCCACGAACCACGAGAUCAUGACCUGAGCCAAAGUCAUGAGUCAGAGCUUAACUGACUGAACCACGCAGGCACCCUGAUUACGUGGGUUCUGAAGCUGAUCUGCUUGGGUUCAAACCCUGGCUCUGCCACUUACCAGUUAUGUGUCUUCGGCAAGUGACAUGACUUCUCUGUGCCUCUCUUUCUUCAUCUGUGAAAUGGAGACAACAGAAAUACCUGCCUUGUGGGGUGGUUUUUGUGUUCAAUGUGUUCAUGUGUGUAAAGUUCUUAAACCAGUGCCCAGCCAUUACGAGGUGCAGUAUUCAUGUUUGCUGUUCUUGUUUAUUUAUUCCCUCACCGAUUACUAAGAGACAACUCUAUGGCAGGCCCGGGGCUGGGUGGCCACCAGGGAUUCAGAUCUGAAGGACGAUCUCCAACCUUGCGGAGGUCACAGAUGCAUAAACGGGCAAUUGCAGUCAUGUGGUCAGUGUUGUGCAGGUUGCCUUGUCAUUGCGUUGAUUGUUUGUCUCCAUCGCUGGGCAGAAGCUUUUUAGUUUGACAGAGGCCCACUUGCUUAGUUUUGCUUUGGUUGCCUCUGCUUUUGGCAUCGGAUCCAAAAAUAGCAUCGCCGAGACGGAUAUGAAGGAGCUCGCCGCCUGUUUUUUCUUCUAGGAGAUUCAUGGUUUCAGGUCUUAUGUUCAAGUUUUUCAUCAUUUUUCUGCAUGUGGCCGUCCAGUUUUCCCAACAGGAAAACAGAAAGCACGAGAUAAAGAAUGCAUUAUAAAAUAGAAAUUCUGGUACCUUUGCUCCCUCAAACUGAUGGCUCUUCUCGUG